CAAAGUGUAGCUUAAAGCAAAGCACCCGGCCUACACCCGGAAGAUCUCAAAACAAUUGAUCACUUUGA
rnacentral:tRNA from 1 species